CCCGGGGGUUCCUGGGGGUGCAGCGGGAGCCGGCCGGCGUGGCGGUGGGUCAUGGCGCGAAGCGCAGUAGUAGCGCUUGUGCACCGUACUCUGUGAAGAACCCAUUUCACAGGAGAGGAAACUGAGGCCCACAGAGGUGAAUGGCAUCCAAGACCACAGGACGUGGCCUUGUGUGCGCAGGACUGGAACCUGGGUAUGCGUGAUCUCCACUGAAUCACUGCAUCCCAUCCAUUCAUUCACUCACUCACUCA